rfam:Schistosoma rodhaini strain Burundi genome assembly, scaffold: SROB_scaffold0001066
AUUGACGAGUCCCAAAUAGGACGAAACGCGCGUCCUGGAU